rnacentral:rRNA from 1 species
GAGUUUGAUCCUGGCUCAGGGUGAACGCUGGCGGCGUGCCUUAGGUAUGCAAGUCGAACGGUUUUGAUAUUUUUGCGGAGUUGAUCUCUGACUUGUCAGAGUGAGAUAAUGCAUGUUGUCAAAAUAGUGGCAGACGGGUGAGUAAUACAUAAGAACCUACCUUUAAGAUGCGUAUAGCCACGCGAAAGCGUGGAUAAUCCGCAAUGGUCUUGUUAAAAGAGAUUUUAACAAGUAAAUGAUUUGCUUUGCAAAUUGCUUAGAGAGGGGCUUAUGUCCUAUCAGCUUGUUGGUAAGGUAAUGGCUUACCAAGGCUAUGACGGGUAGCUGGUCUUGAUAGGAUGGUCAGUCACACUAGCACUGAAACACGGGCUAGACUCCUACGGGAGGCAGCAAUUAGGAAUUUUGCACAAUGGGGGAAACCCUGAUGCAGCGACGCCGCGUGGAGGAUGAAGGCCUUCGGGUUGUAAACUCCUUUUAUUUAAGAAUAAGUUCCAGCCUUUGGCUGGUUCAGAAGGUAUUAUAUGAAUAAGCACCUGCCAACUGCGUGCCAGAAGCCUCGGUUAUGCGUAGGGUGCUAGCGUUACCCGAUUUCACUGGGCGUAAAGAGAUGCGUAGGCUUCCCUAUAAGUUA